ensembl:snRNA U6 U6 spliceosomal RNA
GUGCUUGCCUCAACAGCACAUAUACUAAAACUGGAACGAUACAGAGAUGAGUGUGGCCCCUCAUGAGGGUGACUCGCAAAUUCAUGAAGCGUUCCAUCGUUUU